rnacentral:sRNA from 1 species
AUGUAUGGGAGGCUAAAACCUGACAAGGGAGGUCACCGUCAUUCACCUUGCUGCUCCUAGGCCGGCCUUGAUGAUUCACAACUUUUAGCUGUGCCAGUGCCACCAAAGAUCUCCAACAUCUCCUCGGAUGUCACUGUGAAUGAGGGCAGCAACGUGACUCUGGUCUGCAUGGCCAAUGGCCGUCCUGAACCUGUUAUCACCUGGAGACACCUUACACCAACUGGAAGGGAAUUUGAAGGAGAAGAAGAAUAUCUGGAGAUCCUCGGCAUCACCAGGGAGCAGUCCGGCAAAUAUGAGUGCAAAGCUGCCAACGAGGUCUCCUCGGCGGAUGUCAAACAAGUCAAGGUCACUGUGAACUAUCCUCCCACUAUCACAGAAUCCAAGAGCAAUGAAGCCACCACAGGACGACAAGCUUCACUCAAAUGUGAGGCCUCGGCAGUGCCUGCACCUGACUUUGAGUGGUACCGGGAUGACACUAGGAUAAAUAGUGCCAAUGGCCUUGAGAUUAAGAGCACGGAGGGCCAGUCUUCCCUGACGGUGACCAACGUCACUGAGGAGCACUAUGGCAACUACACCUGCGUGGCUG